UACGAAGGGGGCUAGCGUUGUUCGGAAUUACUGGGCGUAAAGCGCACGUAGGCGGCUAUUUAAGUCAGGGGUGAAAUCCCAGAGCUCAACUCUGGAACUGCCUUUGAUACUGGGUAUCUUGAGUAUGGAAGAGGUAAGUGGAAUUGCGAGUGUAGAGGUGAAAUUCGUAGAUAUUCGCAGGAACACCAGUGGCGAAGGCGGCUUACUGGUCCAUUACUGACGCUGAGGCGCGAAAGCGUGGGGAGCAAACAGG
rnacentral:rRNA from 1 species